rnacentral:lncRNA from 1 species
UAGCAGUGUUCUAGAAUCCUGUAUGAUUCUUAUUCUCUUGGAGUUUUGGGACAUCAGAAAUUCAUGAUCCUUCUUUUAAGAGCUGCAUGGAUUUGGAGUCUUAUCCUCACUAGAAGAGAGGAAUGCACCCAAUGGAAAAGAGGAGAGCAACCAAAGUCUAAGCUAAGAGCAUAGUUUCAUAAAGUAUUUCCUCUGGCAUUCAUAGUUUUUGUGGACACACCUGAUACCUGAAAAAAACAAUCUGAAUAUCCAAAACAUCAUUCACUGUUAAAUCCAGGAAACAUCCUUGGAUUUGGAAAUUAUGGAAGGAGAAAUUAUUAUUGGAACUGUACUGAACCUUUAGCUCAAUUAAGUUCAAAACAGAUACAAAGCUAUGAGCAUGUAUAUGCAGAGGUAGAUCAACCUGGAAGCUACUACAAUAGUCCAGGUGAGACAUCAAGAGGACAACUGAGGAAAUAAAGUGGACAUGGAGAAGAGGGAGAAGAUUCAACUAUUUAUACAGUUUGAUGAGGCAGGAUACCAUGCUGUGGAGACCCAUUUGGCAAGAAACUAAAGGCAGCCACCAUCCAAAUGCUAGGAAAAAGCUACAGCUUUCUGUCUGAUGGCAAAGGAGACACUGAAUCCAGUCAACAAUAACAGGAGUUUGAUGGAAGAUCCAUUCCCCAGUGGAGCCUCAGAUAACACCUCAAGUCUGGCCAACAUUCUGACUGUAAACUUAUGAGAGACCCUGAAGCAGAGAAUUCAGCUAAUCCAUGCCUGGGUUUCUGACUCUCAAAAAUUCUGAGAUAAUAAAUGCAUGUUGUUUUAUGCCUUUAA